rnacentral:tRNA from 1 species
GUGGCUCUGUGGUAGAGCAUGUGCUUAUCAUGCAUGAAGCCUUGGGUUCAUUUCCCAGC